CAAGCGACGGCAAGCGCAAGCGACGGCAAGCGCAAGCGACGGCAAGCGCAAGCGACGGCAAGCGCAAGCGACGGCAAGCGCAGCGAGACUUUUGUGCUUGUCUUGCAAGGUGAAAGAGACGAGGUACGAAAUGAAGAGCUGGCGGAUGGAGGCCACCAGACCCAGGUGAAGGAAGGAUUCACCCAAAGAAGUGAUGAGGAGCCUGAUGCAUGACUGGCCAAGGCUGGCCAGAGGGUUGCCGGGGCAGGGGAUGGGACGAGCGCCAGCCUGCACCGAGAGGGACCGGGCCGCACCCACAAGACCACGGAGGGGGCAGGCGGAAGACGAGUCCAACACCGGCCGGAGCAGACCCGGACCUUGGCCCGUGACGAGCGGCGAUGCGGCGAGGCCGGGAGGGCCAAGCGCCCAGCCAGCGUUGACGGGGAGUAUGACUUUGUUUUUUCUUUUGCGCUCUCCCUCCCUCCUUCCCUGUCUGUUUGAAUAGGGUAACUAGCAGCACGCACGGGCAAUUGGGUUGCCGUGACCCUCUAGAUACGAAUUGGCAAAGUAGACACCCCUCCCUCCCUUCCUCCCCUCUCUCUCUCUCUCUCUCGCUCUCUUUCUCCGAUGCGCCCGGCAGUACCUGCAUGGCCUGGUGCACUCAGGGGGGAACGUGGCUAUACCUUGCCCUUUGUGGAAUACCAGGGUAUAAUGUCUGCCCGACUGGGUCCCAGUGUCGUCGACGGUGUCGAGGUCGAAGAGAUUCUCCGUGACGCCCUCCGUGACGUCACGUUUUCCUUUUUUUUCCCCCUCGGGGCCAAGCCAGCUCUCCUGGCCGGUUGUGCUUUAGUGCGCACCAAAGCCUCUUCUCAUCUCCCCUCGCUUUCUCCCGCCCUACCUCCCUCCCUCCCUUUAAGCAAGGGGUUAAACCUUUCAUAACCCGGAUCGCUCCAAUGCGGGAGGGCUGUACGAGACGUGCGCCAGCCCAUGCGUGCCGCCAGUUGCCUGAUUCAAACUUGCCUUCGUCAAGGUUGCUAGUGGAAAUGUUCCUCUUGCCAAAUAUGUCUGCCCUUCAGGAUUGCCGGGGCAGCGGAUCGGACGAGUGCCUGCACCGAGAGGGACUGGACCGGAGCGCGAGACCAGAGGUUGCGCGAGGCGGAAGAUGAGUCCAGACGUCGAGCACCGGCCGAGAGGGGACCCGACCAUCGGCCGACCUUCGCCCGUGACGAGCGGCCUACAACGGACGGACGGACGGGUGCAGAUGCGGCGAGGGCAAAGUGCCCAGCCAGCAUUUAAGGAGAGUAUCACUGUUUUUCCUUUGGUGCUUUCUUUCUUUCCCUCCCUCUACUUUUUCACUGGGUGUGCACACUGGCUGUCUGCCUUUCUUUCUUUCUCAGCGCUGCGUCAUUUUGCAAUAUUGUUGUUUUAAUGUUGUUGUUUUUAAUACAUGAAGUGAACUGUUUGGACUGUAAUUGUGUGUGUGUGUGUACACCUCUGAACCUGGAUUAAACUGAACUGAAUUCAAGUGGUCCAUUUUAAACAUUGGCAUGAGCAGUCUAUAGUGCAUAAUCAGAGUUAAAUGACAACAUACAAACUGGAAUCAUUUGAGACUCUCAAUAAGGCAAUUGUGAAGUUAGUCUCAAACCAAAUUGUCUUGUUAAAUAUGCAGUGUCAGGCUUUUUAUUUAUUUUUUACACUACACAAAGAAAAGCUGUAUGCAUUCUAAAUGGUUGACGAAAGCCAAGUAGCCUGACACCCAUAGAUUCAAACGAUAAGCGUAAACCUACAGUCUCUGUUGCGAUCAAUGCGUUUGGCAACCCCGCUUUAAAAUGGCCACUGAACUCAGAAUCUUGCUUUAUGUUGUUGCAUUUUUCUGUACGAGUAAAAGUCUAUUUUAAUCGGGGCCGAGGCUUUUUUUUUAAUCAUGCAUCAUGUGGGCAUUCUUGUGAAUAAAGUCCACGUUGCUGUGUUUUCUUCCUGUUGUUGGUCUUGCAAAUAAAGUCAAUUUUGGUGUCAGUCAUCAUUCACGAUGCGCCGCAAAUGAUGCAUCUCUUAAAUAUAAAACUUAUUGCAAGUUUUGUUACAGGGCUUGGCUUCAUUCGCUGGCUGACUACAAAGAAGGCUGUUGCUGUACAGACCAGGGCGUCGCUAAAGUAAAUUGAAUUUAUAAACCUAGCGUGUAACGUCCAGGACCUUGGCUUUCAAUUCAAAGCAGUUGCAUGUUGCUUAACACGGCCAGCCUUGGUGCAUGUACUGUGUGCUACCACCCAGUUCAGAGUUCAGUAACGGCCACACCGCAACCUGCUUAGGUGGCACGCAAGUGAGGCACUCUUAAUACCGGCAUCUUUAUUAAAUUGACCUGAUCAGACAGGCAAGAUGAAUUCCAAGUGCUGCCACCUUGUGGCGGCGUAUUUGCCUCAACCGGUCUAACGCUCCAUUUAACUGUAUGCAAUCAUUUUUAACUUGAAACAACUACAUGACAAAUGAUAGGUGCCCUAAUUAGACAACUGGGUCAAUGCGACCCGUCUUUUGCGGUUUGUUUUGCCCAAAGCAACCUAACAAAUGCACAUAAUGCACACUUGCUCCAUUUUUGCUCUUAUUUAUUGUGUUAUUUGUUCAUUUAUUCAUCACUCCUUCAUUGUUUGUGCCUUGUUUUUAUUUUUUUGUGUUUACUUGUAUGUAUAUUGUGUACUAUGUCUUGUCACCGUGGGAUAGUGGGAACGUUAUUUCGAUUUCUUUUUUUAUCUUGGCAUGUGACGAAAUUGACAAU